rnacentral:lncRNA from 1 species
AAAAAAACAUUUCAAAGAAUAACCAAUUAAUCAGUUGGUAUCCUUAUUGUUACAGAUCAUUACAGCAAUCCUUACUGUUACAGAUCAUUACAGCAAUACCUUUGGUCACCAUUUAGAAACAAAGACCAAAACAGAUUCUCCAAUGACAGAAAAACUUCUUAAAUGUUAACGGUACAAUCUACAAAAAGGUUUAAUCGCUAUAAGAGAUGGUGCACAAACAAUGAGUGGUAGCAUAAAAACCAAGCAUAACAUGUGCAUUCCAACUUUUCAAGUAGAAUUUUUGUGGUGUUAGUACCUGGUUCUUGAUAGGCAUGGCCAUCUUGCGGAAAUACUUGCACAUUAUAGGCUUGUGCUGCGGCUUGGCAGGGGUGUCCUGCUUGGUCUUGCUCGUGGAUAGGACUGCUUGGUCUUGGUCUAGUACAAAUGCCCGUGCGUUGCACCGGGCGAGAAAACAGGCACAACCUACUUAAGAUCUAGCUCCAGAGACAACAUCCUUUUUCCCACUAAUUUGAUGCUAAUAUGCUGGCAGUUUAUUGUGCCUCUGUUGUGAUCCUUCUUCCAACCAACAUAAAUGAGCCUUGUACAACACUAUUUUGAUGGAUAAAGGGGAUGCAGCAACCAGAUGAAGAAAUCAUAUACUCCCUCCAUCUGAAAAUAAGUGACGCUGUUUUAGUUCAAUUUUGAAUUAAAACGGCGUCACUUAUUUCCGGAAGGAGGGAGUAAUAGUUAAUGUUCUGUACAUUAUUGCACUUUGAAUCCAAUCGAACGAUAGGUGCAUUAUGGUAUUUAAAGCUAUUUUCAUCCUUAUACUUAUAAACCAGAGUCUGAAAUCUUAUGUACUGAAAGGAGAAUCAAAAGAGGAGAACAACAUAUUUCCAGAGCUCUUAGAUCCUUGAUGACAAAUUCUUAUUGUUUCUGAUAAACUUGUGUUCUCCAAUUUUAGUCCAACACUGUGUACCAUCUCAUCAUACAGUUUUAAUAAACAAUACAAAUUUUUUUUGCUUUUAAAUAUGCGUGGAGAUGAAAACUGCUUGUUGCUAUUUAUAAAGAAUGGAAGUUGGUUAUGCAUGUACUGAAAAAGUGGUAGCAUGUUAUACCUCCACCGCAAAAAAAAAUUAUUUCAAUAUGUCCGCAGAAUGUAAUCCGACAUUGUAUCCCCUGAAUCUGAAGGAUUGUCACUGUAUUAGUAAUCUGCAAGAGCACAGCUCGCCAGAUUCAUCAAUUGGAGGGUUAUCCAACAAUAAAAUCCUGUUAUCACAAAAGAACACAAGGUACAGAAUAGAGUGGAGCACCCAUUUAUUAAAAGAAAACCAUGCCAAACUUUAAUAAAGUGUACAAAUGUGGCCAUGUCUUUGAGAGUGACUUCAAUGAAAAUCAGGGGCUCGACUGGUCUUAACGAAGACAAUAACAUCACUCAGACCAAGUUACUAACAGACCUAAAACUAUCAUCUAGAAAACUGUUUUUUUAAGAACCUUCUACAGUGGGGGAACCCCACCACUGACCUUUGUAUUAGAUCAGAGCGUCAAAGCUACAGUACAAUAUUUACAUAGAGAAGUUAGCAGGGGAGGGGGAGGAGAGGUCAGAAUACAAACCAAAAGAGGGUCUAGCAGCUCUCUCUUUCCAUAUACUCCAUACUGCCACCACAAACACUUCCAUGAACAUAUGUCCAGUCCAGUUUCUUUUUGCUGCGUGCAACAAUUCCAAUCUGUCCCAGUUGAUAUCAAUGUUGCGGGGCGUCCCCCUCUUGGUGAUCUCCGCGAAAUGGUUUUGGAUGAUGGAUUUUUUAUGCUCAUGCUCUGUGACCCAUCCACUGUUAUGCCUAAGGCGGUGAAUGAAAUUCUUGCGCCUUCUAUGAUUGACUCGGAGGUGAAAGAAACGAGUGUUGGCAUCUCCAUCUUUGAGAUUGGUAAUUCUCGAGCAUUGCCUUUUCCGCGCACGCUCGAGUACAGACAAGCUAACCACCUUGCGCUUGAGCCUCCUACGAAUAUCCAGCUCCUCUGCACUCAAAGGACGGCAUUCUUGGGCCACAUCCAGACGGAGAAUGACCUCUAGGGCCAUAUGUAUUUGUACCUUCGAAUGCGCAAAUAUUGUCUUGCUCCAUGUCCUAAGCACCUGACUUGUCUUCUUCAUCUUGUGGAAGAGGAUGUGGUGAGGAUCUACAUGGUUCACCUCUUGGUUCCAUGCACUGUUGACGACCUCCUUGAAUCUGGGCAUCUUGAUCCAAAAGUUUUCAAAGCGGAAUGAUUUGGUCCGCGGUGGCCCUUUGUCAUUUGCGAGGAGGAGAGGGCAAUGGUCGGAGAGCGACGAGGAGAGAGCAUGUAGGAGGUGUGUGCCAAAGUGCAGGUCCCAUUCUUCAUUGCAGAAAAAGGAAUCUAGCUUGCUUAAGGUUGGGUCGUUUCGCUCAUUACUCCACGUAAACUUCCUGUUUUGAAGAUGUAUCUCUUUUAGCUCGCACGCAUUGAGGGCGUUACGGAAGCGAACGAUGCGACUUUGGUCAACAUUCGCACGGUUCUUGUCUCUCGCGCGGUAAAUUUGAUUAAAAUCCCCAUUAACCAACCACUUUUCGCCAGGGUGGGGCUUCUCGCUGACCAAUUCUUGGAAGAAGCCGUCUUUAAGGUUGCUUCUCGUCGGGCCGUACACGGUUGUGAGCUUGAAGGAUUCACCCGACGAGGAUAGGGAGACUUUGGCUGAGAGGAAGAAAGCACCAAUGUUUACAUCUUGGAUUUUGACAAAAUGUUCGUCCCAGAGAAGAAGGAUUCCGCCUCGAGUGCCAACAGAUGGGCGUUGAGCAAAACUCUUUAACCGAUGUCCCCCUAGAAAAGAAGCAAUGAACGGGUCGACAUUCUGGAGCUUGGUCUCCUGGAGACACACAAUGUGACACGGAGUGGCGGUGAUGGUCUCAUGGAUGGUGGCGCGGCGAUCAGGACAGUUCAAACCUCGGACAUUCCAGCACAAAAUACUCAAGUUUUGGUCUAACAUAAUUGAUAGCAGAUUACACCAUGGCCAAGCUUGGCAGAACUAGCAUCAGGAACACGUGGGAGCGUCACUAGAGCAGAAUUACUUGACAGCAAAUAGCAGAUUACAACAUGGUCAAGCUUGGCAGAACUAGCAUCAGGAAUACAUGGAAGCGUCACUAGAGCAGAAUUACUUGACAGCAGCAAACAAACAUGUACGUAAGCCUCGCCAGGGCAGGUAGCAGCGAUCACCAGGACCAGCAGCAAACAGGCGAACACUCUAAGGGUUGUAGCUAUCCCAACCCCCGCUUGCGAUCUCUCUGACCUUGGGGCUGCCUUCACGGAAGAGGAGGUCAAGAAGGCGAUCUUUGAUAUGCCGAGUGACAAAGCGCCGGGUCCGGACGGCUUCACCGGGGCCUUCUUCAAGGACUGUUGGGAAAUCAUCAAGGGCGACAUUAUGAACGCAGUCAACCAUUUCUCGAGCUUGCAUACAUCCAACCUUCAUUGGCUCAACUCCGCAAACAUUGCCCUCAUUCCAAAGAAGGAUGAGGCGGAAUGCAUCUCAGAUUUCCGUCCCAUUAGCCUCAUCCACGCCAUUGCCAAGAUUAUUGCUAAGGUCAUGGCCUCCAGACUUGCACCACACAUGCAGAACCUUGUCUCUAAUACUCAAAGCGCCUUCAUCAAGAAGAGGAGCAUCCAUGAUAAUUUCACGUACGUGAGAAGCUUGGCAAGGAAAUUCCACCGCAACAAGACGCCGACGCUAUUAUUCAAACUUGACAUCAAGAAAGCUUUUGACUCCGUGCGGUGGGAUUUCCUCUUGGAUCUUCUAAGGCACUUGGGCUUCCCGAGCAGAUUUCGUGACUGGGUUUCGGCACUCCUUUCCACAUCCUCCUCAAGGGUCUUGAUCAACGGAAUUUUGGGUGACCCUCUGAAGCAUGGCCGCGGUCUUAGGCAAGGUGACCCGCUCUCCCCGUUACUGUUCGUGCUGGCAAUUGACCCCUGCACCAUCUCCUAAACAAGGCUACAUCUCAAGGGCAUCUCCAUCCUCUCUGUGACCAUUCGUGCCUCUCUUUAUGCUGAUGAUGCAGCCAUCUUUGUCAAGCCCAUCAAGGAGGACAUCCAGUUUUUUGCUUCUAUCCUGGCUUCCUUUGGAGAGGUUACCGGUUUAGUCACUAACUGUGCUAAAAGCCUUGUCGCCCCGAUUCGUUGUGAAAGUGUCGAUCUUCAAGACAUUCUUCAUGCUUUUCCGGCUGUCCGCACGUCCUUUCCAAUGAGAUAUAUUGGACUACCGUUAUCGGUCAAGCGCCUCAAGAGGAUCCACUUUCAGCACCUUGAGGAUAAGGUGGCUGGCAAACUCCCUCCGUGGCAAGGAAAACAUGUCGCUACCGCCGGUCGGGCCGUCCUUGUCAAAGCUGUUCUCACUGCCAUUGCCAUUUACCACCUCACGCCGCUCAACAUCCCAGCUAAGGUCCUUAGAAAGAUUGAUUCUAUCCGUCGCGCCUAUCUUUGGGCGGGCACCGACAAGGUUUCUGGUGGGAAAUGCAAAGUCAAUUGGGACCUUGUUUGCAAGCCUAAGAAGCACGGUGGCUUAGGUGUGCUCAACUUGGACAAGUUUGCCAAGGCUCUUAGGCUUCGAUGGCUCUGGUUCGAGUGGCAAGAGCCCACAAGACCGUGGAUUGGUAUGGGUACGCCAUGCACUGAUGAAGACAGGGACUUUUUUGCAGCUGCCACUUCCGUCACAGUUGGCAAUGGGCAUGUGGCUAAGUUCUGGAACUCCUCUUGGCUUGAUGGCAUGCGCCCACGGGACCUAGCGCCUGGCAUUUUCGACCUCUCCCGAAGGAAAAACUGCUCGGUCAAACAGGCUUUAACAAACAACACUUGGAUCUCUCAUAUUGACUUCUCCGACGGUCUCACAGUAGACCAUGUCCACCAGUUCGUCGCACUUUGGGAGAAGAUUGACUCGGUCACUCUGGAUGAGGACGUGGAGGAUUCCAUUAUUUGGAAGUUCACCAAGGACGGAUCGUACUCAGCUUCCUCGGCUUACAAGGCGCAGUUUGAGGGCCUAACUACGUCAGCCAUGGUCCUAUCGGUGUGGAAGGUGUGGGCUCCUCCGCGGUGCAAAUUUUUCGCAUGGCUUGUACUUCAAGAUAGAAUCUGGACAUCGGACCGCCUUGCUCGACGUGGGUGGCCCAACUGCGGGCUAUGCCCGCUUUGCAAGCAAAGCCCAGAGACGGCAGCCCACUUACUGUUCCAAUGUCGCUACACCCUUCGUGUGUGGAACGAUAUUCUUCGCUGGCUUGGCAUGGAUCACACUCAGGCUACUACUUGGUCAGCGAGGAGCUCGGUGUGGGAAUGGUGGAAUGGAAACGUAUAUCUUCGUUCUGAAUCCCCCAAGACGCUCGCCUCACUAAUGAUGCUAAUCUCCUGGGAAAUUUGGACGGAGCGCAAUGCUAGAGUUUUCCGCAACACCGCCGCACCUACGACGGUCGUCAUUAGUAAGAUAAAAGAGGAGUUGUCGCUUUGGGCGUUGGCGGGCGCCAAGCAUUUGAGUGUUGUAAUGCCGCGAGAGUAGAUUUUAUUUCUUGCCACUUCGUGGCCUGUCUAAACCUUCUUCUUAAUCAAUGAAAUGGCAAAUCUUUUGCCUUGUUUCAAAAAAAAACAAUUCCAAUCUGUUAUUCAGAUCAGGCCAUCUAACACAAAGUUUCUCCCAACAUGACUUACUGAACGGGCAUUUGAAAAGAAGUCCGAGGCAAGACCAAGCAGCAGCACGAGACUGGUAUCCUGCAAUAUUAAGGCAACAUUUGACCAUUUGAAGGAAAAAAUGGAUGCUGAUUGCAAAUGGAUAUAUGGGUAAAAUACAACAACAACAACAACAACAAUAGCAGUAGUGAAGCUUUAUCUUUUGAUCAACUAUGGACAAGCACAAAUAGACCUUACUGAUAAUUUGAAACAUAGUAAUGAACAAACGUAGGCAGUUUCAGCACAGGAUAUGAUCUAGCCCAGGCUGAUUCGCCAACACGAAACCACUAACGAAUUUCAAAUUUCAUUCUAUCAUGCUAACGCUUUGACCGGAGAUGACAUUAAUAUAGAGGAAAUCAUGAACCGAGGAACCUAAAAGUAGCACAGGUUUGAUGGGGGAUACGGUGAAUAAUCUAAGCAAACAGCGAUGCAAACUCCAAGAAAGGGAUCCACUGCUUACCGGGGAUGAAGUUGCCGCAGCGCAGCCUUGCUCUACUCCGGUGCUUAGGGGUGGUGGUGGCUGUGGAAGGUUGGGAUAGCUCAGAGCUGGGCGAUUGGUAAAUGAAGAGUUGACUACCUGAAGCUGUAUACACCUAAACUACAUGUGCACAAGAGCUCGUAUGCUCAUGCUAAUUAAUCGCCUAAAUUCACUUGUUGGACCAGAUGGAUACGCUGUUGAUUCAUCCGCUCUGAGAUGGAUGGAUCGGAUCCCUGGUUUCACUUAAGCGCAUCUGGCAUCGAUGAGUGGGUCGCUCAACUCCACUGUCUAAAGAAUCUGCUCCAGCACGCCUCAGUUCUCCGCCGCUCCAUCUCACGAUAAUGGAUGGCCUCGGCCUCGACAUCUACAACUGCAACACGUGGUUGAGAUCGACCGGCUAUGGGAUUUGACGACGGGGGCGACGCCGGCCACCUUCUGCAGCCGGCCGACAACAGAGAAACAGCCCACGUGUGCGUACGCCUAUGCGGCAAAGGGCGGUGGCGCGGCCGCUCGCCUGGAUCCGUAUGCCCCAUCGUUCCGCACGUCCAGCCCGUCCACCGCCGCCCUGUGCAGACUUCACUUGAUUUGACCGAGCGGGAGAACCACCUAGCGCCCACACACUCGGUGACCCACCUCGAUCCGGAGAUAGGGGUAGGCGCGGCGGCAGGGUAGGUGGGGUGACGCACGGCGGCGGGGUAGGUGGUGGCGACGAAAGGCGGCGGCCGGCGGGGCGGGGCGUGGCAGGAGGUGCGAUGACGGUGGAAUGCCGUGGGUGAAGGUCGAGAAACUGGAGAUCAGAUCGGGAGGCACGUCCGUUUAAUUUUGUUCUUUCUCUCACACGUACCGGUUCGUGAUGACUUUUUAUUUAUGAUAUGAGGAGUGCGGGUUGAAUAGUUAAAAACCACACGGACCUUUGUGUAAAAAGGAUGCGACGAUGAAGCCGACAAACUCAACCCUUGCUUUAUUAUUAGGGAAAGGUAUUUUUCAUAUAUAAUUCAAUAGAAGCAGUUUUGUAAGUCUUAACUUGGGCCUAAUUUGCGGAAUCAUUAUAAAUCCAUAGUCAAUUGUGAAAAUGGUAAAUUGUUGUACGGCUAAGAUUGUACCAUAGGGUUUUUGUAGAGAGCAUUCAAUUAUGCUGUACCUGCUGUUUACACAAUUAUGUACUCACAAUCAAAAUUAUGCUAGGGUUCACUUUGGUCACAAUCCGAACACAUCCUUCUUUCCAACUUUUCAGUUAAUAUCUCCAUUUCCCACUAAUCAUGAACUGCAGCUAAUUUAUCAAUCAUUGGUCAGUCAAACUAAUCACAAGUCUUAACUUGCCUAAUUGAUCAUCUAAUAAUACAUGGGUAGCUGGGUUACUAAAUUGUAUUGUCUCAAUCAUAGUAAAAUCAUAUACUGUUGAGAUGAAACUGUAUGGAUGCUGAGAUCGUAACACAGGUUUUUAUAUUCAGUUUUGCUAAAGCACAUCUAGAUUUUACGCGGAGAUUCGUGCAAACAUUUUCUUUUGUCCUUUUUCUUUUCCUAGUUUGAUCGAUCCACUUAGAUGUGCAAUAAUUAGGACACAUCUAGAUGUGCCCGAAAGGCCCUUUUAUAUUUUAGUGUAUAUUAGAGAAUCACAUAUAUUAGCUAAAAGCAAUCUAGUGCCACACCUUUUGUUUUCACAUUUUUUAUCCAUUAUUGAUAUAUUAUUUAUUUGUAAUUGGUCACUAUGACUCAUAAUGAGGUUGAUUGAUCAUCUAAUAAUACUAGAUAUUCACAAGAAUGAAUGAGUGGUUAAUAUAAGCAUUUACCUGAAAAACAAGGAGGGAACUAAUUACAAUCUUAUACGUUUUCUGUUGCCCUGUAU